GGGUGUAGCUCAGGGGUAGAGCACAUGCUUAGCAUGCAUGAGGUCCUGGGUUCAAUCCCCAGUACCAACA
rnacentral:tRNA from 1 species